GGACGGUGCUACUCAAGUCAAGGUUCGGAUAUAAUUUUUCGACUGCAUCUCGAUCGUUUUCAUACCUGACGCAGUAGGAGGUGAACCUGCCUUCGAGGAUCUCUUCUUUGAAUUCUUUUAAAAUUUUGAAGUUCUUGAUUGCCUGACUCAAUGCCUCCCUUGCCGACUCUGCUUCCGCCUUCUCUAACUCAAUGUUGGC
rnacentral:lncRNA from 1 species